rnacentral:lncRNA from 1 species
CACGAGAGACAACAUAUACCUGCUACAUCUUGUGCCUACGAUAUUUUGUAUUCUUCUCAUCUUCGUGCGAGAGGCAGCGUGUGCUUGCGGCAUCUUAUGCCUACGACAUCUUGUAUUCUUCUCAUCUUCAUGUGAGAGGUAGCAUGUGCCUGCGGCAUCUUAUGACUAUGGUAUCUUGUGUUGUUUUCAUCUUCACAUGAGAGGCAGUGUGUGCCUGUGGCAUCUUGUACCUAUGACAUCUUGUACUCUCCUCGAUGGUAUUCUGAGAUUCUGGUUAGUU